AGGACGAACGCUGGCGGCGUGCUUAACACAUGCAAGUCGAGCGAGGCCCUUCCUUCGGGAAGGUGCCCUAGCGGCGAACGGGUGAGUAACACGUGGGCAACCUGCCCCUAGCACUGGGAUAACUCCGGGAAACCGGGGCUUAAUACCGGAUAUGACCUUCUUGGGCAUCCUCGAAGGUGUAAAGGAUUCUGGCUAGGGAUGGGCCCGCGGCCUAUCAGCUUGUUGGUGGGGUAAUGGCCUACCAAGGCGACGACGGGUAGCCGGCCUGAGAGGGUGACCGGCCACACUGGGACUGAGACACGGCCCAGACUCCUACGGGAGGCAGCAGUGGGGAAUCUUGCACAAUGGGCGAAAGCCUGAUGCAGCGACGCCGCGUGAGGGAUGACUGCCUUCGGGUUGUAAACCUCUUUUAGUAGGAAGAAGCGAAAGUGACGGUACCUGCAGAAAAGCACCGGCUAACUACGCGCCAGCAGCCGC
rnacentral:rRNA from 1 species